CUACUAGAGGGGAGCUAAUCGGUCUCAAAUGACCGUCAAGGAUGGACAUUCUUGAAAAGACGUCGUAGAACAAGAUGUCGGCUGAGCUUCCAUUGUCGACAAGAAUGCGACGGACGUCGUAAUUUGCUAUAUUCAUGGAAACUACGAUCGCAUCGUUAUGAGGGAAUUGGACUCUCGGAGCGUCUUCUUCAGUAAAGAUUAUGGGCU
rnacentral:lncRNA from 1 species